ACAGGUACGGACAUGUUUCAACGUGGCAAAUGCAGGGGCAAGAACUGCACCUACACACAGGUGCAGACGCGCAGUGCUGAUGAGCCCAUGACCACCUUUGUACUAUGCAACGGCUGUGGAAACCGCUGGAAGUUCUGUUGAGGAGAAGAUAUUCUGGAUUUGCUAGUAGAAGAGCUGACCUGGAUGAAGAAAUAAACCUGGACCUAAAUUUUGUUACAACUGCAGACUUUUUUUUGGUGCUUUUUUUAAAAAUACUUUUUUUUUUUUUUUUUUUUUACAUUUAA